UAUCUGGGAGUAGGCUGACAAUGCCGUCCUGAUGUGGGUUGAAAAUAUAAGAGAGGAUACUGAUCUCUAAUGUGUAUCCAACAAUCUGUUUCUCUGUAAACUUAGAGCUUAUCAAUAUCUGCAGACUUAUUCACUUUUGAGGGGCAUUUAGACCCAAAAUAACUAAAAAAAAUAAAUCAAAAUAAAGUUACAUU